rnacentral:rRNA from 1 species
UACGGUAACGGCGCACCAAGGCGAUGAUCGGUAGCUGGUCUGAGAGGAUGAUCAGCCACACCGGGACUGAGACACGGCCCGGACUCCUACGGGAGGCAGCAGUGGGGAAUAUUGGACAAUGGGGGAAACCCUGAUCCAGCGAUGCCGCGUGAGUGAAGAAGGCCUUCGGGUUGUAAAGCUCUUUCGCGAGGGAAGAAAAGGCAACGGUAAAUAAUCGUUGCCACUGACGGUACCUCGAUAAGAAGCACCGGCUAACUACGUGCCAGCAGCCGCGGUAAUACGUAGGGUGCGAGCGUUAAUCGGAAUCACUGGGCGUAAAGCGUGCGUAGGCGGCCAUGCAAGUCAGAUGUGAAAGCCCCGGGCUUAACCUGGGAACUGCGUUUGAAACUGCAAGGCUAGAGUUCGGCAGGGGAAGAUGGAAUUCCAUGUGUAGCGGUGAAAUGCGUAGAUAUAUGGAAGAACACUAAUGGCGAAGGCAUUCUUCUGGGCCGAUACUGACGCUGAGUCACUAAAGCGUGGGGAGCAAACAGGAUUAGAUACCCUGGUAGUCCACGCCCUAAACGAUGUCCGCUAGCUAUUGGAUUUUAGAUUCAGUGGCGAAGCUAACGCGUUAAGCGGACCGCCUGGGGAGUACGGUCGCAAGAUUAAAACUCAAAGGAAUUGACGGGGACCCGCACAAGCGGUGGAUGAUGUGGUUUAAUUCGAUGCAACGCGAAAAACCUUACCUGCUCUUGACAUGUCUGGAACUCUGCAGAGAUGCAGAGGUGCCUUCGGGAACCAGAACACAGGUG